rnacentral:snoRNA from 1 species
AACGUAUGGUGAGGACACCUUCUCAAUAAGUCUUUAUAUCUCUCCCAUGCAUCGUAUAAUGUCUCUAAACUGAUUUAAAGAAAAGAAGAGAUGUCUUUCCUCAAU